UGAGUGCUAAAAGAAUGGAUUUUCAAAAAAAUUCUUUUUGAAAUUUAAAAAUUGAAGUUAUUUUUAUUUGUGAAGAAACAAUAAUUUAAAUUAAAGACAAGAAGACCCUAUGAAUUUUUAUAAAUUUAUAUAUAUAUAUAUAUAUAAAUUUAUUUAAUUGGGGCGAUUAAUAAAUAUAUUUAACUUUAUAUAAAAAAUUAAUAUGAUCCAUUACUAAUGACUAAAUGGAACAAAUACUCUAGGGAUAACAGCGUAAUAAUUUUAGAUAGAUCUUAUAGAAAAAAUAGUUUGCGACCUCGAUGUUGGAUUAGGAUUCUUAUUUAAU
rnacentral:rRNA from 1 species